rnacentral:rRNA from 1 species
GAUGAACGCUGGCGGCGUGCUUAACACAUGCAAGUCGAACGAAACACCUUAUUUGAUUUUCUUCGGAACUGAAGAUUUGGUGAUUGAGUGGCGGACGGGUGAGUAACGCGUGGGUAACCUGCCCUGUACAGGGGGAUAACAGUCAGAAAUGACUGCUAAUACCGCAUAAGACCACAGCACCGCAUGGUGCAGGGGUAAAAACUCCGGUGGUACAGGAUGGACCCGCGUCUGAUUAGCUGGUUGGUGAGGUAACGGCUCACCAAGGCGACGAUCAGUAGCCGGCUUGAGAGAGUGAACGGCCACAUUGGGACUGAGACGCGGCCCAAACUCCUACGGGAGGCAGCAGUGGGGAAUAUUGCACAAUGGGGGAAACCCUGAUGCAGCGACGCCGCGUGAGUGAAGAAGUAUUUCGGUAUGUAAAGCUCUAUCAGCAGGGAAGAAAAUGACGGUACCUGACUAAGAAGCCCCGGCUAACUACGUG